AUGGCAUUUUGUGGCACACUUUUGCAUGACAUUGUACGGUUUGGCAUGGCAUCGCAUGGCUUUGCAUGGCACCACACGGCAUUGCACAGCAUGGUGUGCCCCACGGCGCACGGCUCAGCGUGCUGUCGCACCACCUUGCACAGCAGCGCAUGGCUCUGCACGGCAUUUCGCGCCGGGGUUUUGCACGGCUUUGCUCCGCUUUGCACGGCACGGCGGGGCUUUGCACGGCAUUUCACGCCGCGUUCCCAAGCACUGCAGGGCUUUACGUGGCACUGCGCCGCGUUGCACGGCCUCGCACCACUUUGCACGACCACGCACGGCUGCGCGCGGCGUUACGAGCAGUCUCGCACAGCUUUGCACGGCUGCGCGCGGCAUCGCGUGCCUUUGCACGGCUUUACACGGCGUUGCACGCCUUUACACGCCCCCCCCCGGGGCCCCGCCGAGGCGUGGCACGCCGCAGAGCUGGGGGGGGCCCGGCGGCACCUCCCGCCCGGGGGCCUUGGCGCCGCAGCACGAACAAAGCCCCCAUUGAGCUCGGGCGGCUCCAACCCAAAUUGUUUCCAUGACCACAUCGCCCCCCCCGCCCCUCCCUUCGGGGGGGUCCCGUCCCCGGCCCCCCCCCCCUACCCGGGGCCCCGCGAGGAGGGGGAGGAGGGGCGUCAGCCACGCGCUUUGCACACGCGUGUGCAACAGCGGCCGCCGCGUGCCCGGGGGGGGGGGGGGGGGUCGGGCGUGGGCGAGUGUCCCGGCCCCAGGUCCCCGUGCCCCCCCCAUGCCCCCGUGCCCCCCCGUGUCCCCCCACCCCGAUGUCCCCCCCGCCCCCCGUGCCCUCCCCGCCCCCCGUUGACGGGGGCUGGGGGGGUGCCGCCGCCUCCCCCGGCCCCGUGCACGCGUGGGAGCGCCCACGUGAAGCCCCCCCCUUGCCCCCCCCCCCCGGCUGAGCCGGCUUUAGGCUAUAAAUACCCCCCCGGCGGGAGGGGCAGCGCCAUGGGGCUGGCGUGGCGCGGCCAGCGGCUCCGCAGCCCCCCCUGUCCUCCCCAGUGCGCCCCCCCCUGCUACCCCCCCUGCUCAGCCCCCUGCCACCCCCCUUGUCACCCCCCCUGCUGCCCCCUCCCGUGUCCCGUCGCCCCCUGCUGCCCCCCCCUCUGCUGCUGCCCCCCCCUCUGCUGCCCCCCCCCGGGCUGCCCGUCGCCUUGCUGCCUCCCUUGUCACCCCCUCUGGUGUCACCCCCCGUGCUGCCGCCCCCCUUGUUGCCCCCCCCCCUGCCGCCUCCCCGCCGCGUCCUGCUGCCCCCCUCCCUGCUGCCCCCUCCCCGCAGCCUGCCCCCGCUGCCCCCCCCGCUGCCCCCUCGGGUGCCCCCCCCCGCCCUGCCGCCCGCGGCUCAGCAUCAAGUGA
rnacentral:lncRNA from 1 species